rnacentral:rRNA from 1 species
CUUGCUCUGUGGGAUCAGUGGCGAACGGGUGAGUAACACGUGAGCAACCUGCCCCUGACUCUGGGAUAAGCGCUGGAAACGGCGUCUAAUACUGGAUAUGUGACGUGACCGCAUGGUCUGCGUUUGGAAAGAUUUUUCGGUUGGGGAUGGGCUCGCGGCCUAUCAGCUUGUUGGUGAGGUAAUGGCUCACCAAGGCGUCGACGGGUAGCCGGCCUGAGAGGGUGACCGGCCACACUGGGACUGAGACACGGCCCAGACUCCUACGGGAGGCAGCAGUGGGGAAUAUUGCACAAUGGGCGCAAGCCUGAUGCAGCAACGCCGCGUGAGGGAUGACGGCCUUCGGGUUGUAAACCUCUUUUAGCAGGGAAGAAGCGAAAGUGACGGUACCUGCAGAAAAAGCGCCGGCUAACUACGUGCCAGCAGCCGCGGUAAUACGUAGGGCGCAAGCGUUAUCCGGAAUUAUUGGGCGUAAAGAGCUCGUAGGCGGUUUGUCGCGUCUGCUGUGAAAUCCCGAGGCUCAACCUCGGGCCUGCAGUGGGUACGGGCAGACUAGAGUGCGGUAGGGGAGAUUGGAAUUCCUGGUGUAGCGGUGGAAUGCGCAGAUAUCAGGAGGAACACCGAUGGCGAAGGCAGAUCUCUGGGCCGUAACUGACGCUGAGGAGCGAAAGGGUGGGGAGCAAACAGGCUUAGAUACCCUGGUAGUCCACCCCGUAAACGUUGGGAACUAGUUGUGGGGUCCAUUCCACGGAUUCCGUGACGCAGCUAACGCAUUAAGUUCCCCGCCUGGGGAGUACGGCCGCAAGGCUAAAACUCAAAGGAAUUGACGGGGACCCGCACAAGCGGCGGAGCAUGCGGAUUAAUUCGAUGCAACGCGAAGAACCUUACCAAGGCUUGACAUAUACGAGAACGGGCCAGAAAUGGUCAACUCUUUGGACACUCGUAAACAGGUGGUGCAUGGUUGUCGUCAGCUCGUGUCGUGAGAUGUUGGGUUAAGUCCCGCAACGAGCGCAACCCUCGUUCUAUGUUGCCAGCACGUAAUGGUGGGAACUCAUGGGAUACUGCCGGGGUCAACUCGGAGGAAGGUGGGGAUGACGUCAAAUCAUCAUGCCCCUUAUGUCUUGGGCUUCACGCAUGCUACAAUGGCCGGUACAAAGGGCUGCAAUACCGUGAGGUGGAGCGAAUCCCAAAAAGCCGGUCCCAGUUCGGAUUGAGGUCUGCAACUCGACC